rnacentral:rRNA from 1 species
AUUGAACGCUGGCGGCAGGCCUAACACAUGCAAGUCGAGCGAGCGGCGGACGGGUGAGUAAUGUCUGGGAAACUGCCUGAGGGGGGGGGAUAACUACUGGAAACGGUAGCUAAUACCGCAUACCAUCAGAUGUGCCCAGAUGGGAGUAGCUAGUGGGUGGGGUAACGGCUCACCUAGGCGACGAUCCCUAGCUGGGCUGAGAGGAUGAUCAGCCACACUGGAAAUGAGACACGGGCCAGACUCCUACGGGAGGCAGCAGUGGGGAAUAUUGGACAAUGGGCGCAAGCCUGAUGCAGCCAUGCCGCGUGUAUGAAGAAGGUCUUCGGGUUGUAAAGGACUUUCAGCGGGGAGGCGUUACCCGCAGAAUAAGCACCGGCUAACUUCGUGCCAGCAGCCGCGGUAAUUC